GUCUAUGGCCAUACCACCCGGAACGCUCCUGAUGUCAUCUGGUCUCGGAAGCUAAGCGGGGUCGGGCCCGGUUAGUCCUUGGGUGGGAGAAAACCCAUUUUAAUGCUCC
rfam:Ailuropoda melanoleuca scaffold2037_2, whole genome shotgun sequence.